rnacentral:rRNA from 1 species
AAGGGGGAGCAAUCCCCCCUAGAGCGGCGGACUGGUGAGUAACACGUGGGUGACCUGCCUUUGUCUUGGGGAUAGCCAUUAGAAAUAGUGGGUAAUACCGAAUACGCUUGCACACGUAGAGGUGUGUAAGGAAAGGCGCUACGGCGCCGGACGAAGAUGGGCCCGCGUCCCAUUAGCUAGUUGGUGAGGUAACGGCUCACCAAGGCGAUGAUGGGUAGGCGGCCUGAGAGGGUGUACGCCCACAUUGGGACUGAGAUACGGCCCAAACUCCUACGGGAGGCAGCAGCUAAGAAUAUUCCGCAAUGGACGAAAGUCUGACGGAGCGACGCCGCGUGGAUGACGAAGGCCGAAAGGUUGUAAAAUCCUUUUGCUGGGGAAGAAUAAGCAUGGGAGGGAAUGCCCGUGUGAUGACAUGAACCGGCGAAUAAGCCCCGGCUAACUACGUGCCAGCAGCCGCGGUAAUA